rnacentral:lncRNA from 1 species
ACUUUGAGAUCUGGCAGAGCCUGGAGCUCCGUACUCUGCUGAUGGUGUCUGCUUCCCUCAGACCAAGUUGUUAUUAGCAGAAUUCUGGAGCCAUGGUGUCUCAAUCAAUCCAAUUUUCCUGGUGUCCUGAUAUUACCCCUGGGCUACUGGCUUCGUGUUUUGAGUUGAUUUUGGGAGUAGAGCACAGCAGCCUGGGCUUGAUUGUCACUUUGGCAGCUACAGCAUUCACUGCAGCUGUGAACGGUAGCAGUGAAAGCAUACAUCAAUGACUUGCUCCUGACGAGAAUGGGAAUGCUUCUAACAUUUCACAUUCAAGAGAAGGAGCCUUGGAGAAUUCGUUGAAUAAUUGCCCGUAUUUUGGGAUUAUUUGGAAGAGUUAAUAUGGUGAUUCGUUUUCCCUGACCACUUGGGGGAACUGACCCACAAAACUGCCUGCCUUAGAACGGUAGAGGGUGGAUUGAGCUUUAAAUACAUUU